CCUACCAGACUUAUACAUGCAAGUAUCCGCACCCCAGUGUAAAUGCCCUCAACCCCUUACCAAGGCAAGAGGAGCGGGCAUCAGGCUCACUACUUGUAGCCCAAAACGCCUUGCUCAGCCACACCCCCACGGGCCAUCAGCAGUAAUUAACAUUAAGCAAUAAGUGUAAACUUGACUUAGUCAUGGUAUCUACAGGGCUGGUAAAUCUUGUGCCAGCCACCGCGGUCACACAAGAGGCCCAAAUUAACAGUAUACGGCGUAAAGAGUGGCCUAAUAAUAUCGCCCACAACUAAGGUGAAAGUGUGUCUAAGCUGUCAUAAGCUCAAGACCCAUCUAAACUCACCAUAAACAUAACCUCAGACCCAAAGCGACCAACUUAAUCCACGAAAGCCGGGAGACAAACUGGGAUUAGAUACCCCACUAUGCUCGGCCAUAAAUCCAGAUGCUUUCACCACCAAAGCACCCGCCAGGGAACUACGAGCACAAACGCUUAAAACCCUAAGGACUUGGCGGUGUCCCAAACCCACCUAGAGGAGCCUGUUCUAUAAUCGAUAUUCCACGCUACACCCAACCCCUUCUCGCCCAGGCAGCCUAUAUACCGCCGUCGCCAGCUCACCUCCACCUGAGAGCAUCACAGUGAACACAAUAGCUUCACCCGCUAAAAAGACAGGUCAAGGUAUAGCCAAUGAAGGGGAAGAAAUGGGCUACAUUUUCUGAUCCAGAAAAUCAACGAACCAAGGCCUGAAAUGGCCCUCAGAAGGCGGAUUUAGCAGUAAAACACGACCACAAUGCCUGUUUUAAGCUGGCCCUGGGACACGUACAUACCGCCCGUCACCCUCCUCAUAAGCAACCUCUUCCCCAUAACCUAUUACCCCCUAAAGCUGAAGAUGAGGUAAGUCGUAACAAGGUAAGUGUACCGGAAGGUGUACUUAGCAUAACAAGAUGUAGCUUAACAUAAAGCACUCAGCUUAC
rnacentral:ncRNA from 1 species